AAACCGCAGGGAGGAAGCAUGAUCUCAGAGGUGGCUCUCCCAGGGCCAGUGUUAUCCAUUGCACUUCAGAUGCGCGGACCUUCAUAUUUCCCCAAUGUGGGAAACUGGACUGCAUCCUUUCUGGUAGUGAAAGUCUCC
ensembl:snRNA LOC120101394 U1 spliceosomal RNA